rnacentral:rRNA from 1 species
UACAGAGGUGUCAAACGUUGUCCGGAAUUACUGGGCGUAAAGGGUGCGUAGGCGGCGGCAUAAGUCAGAUGUGAAAGCUCUGGGCUCAACCCAGGAAUUGCAUCUGAUACUGUGUCGCUUGAGUUCGGUAGAGGAGGGCGGAAUUCCUGGUGUAGCAGUGAAAUGCGUAGAUAUCAGGAGGAACACCUGUGGCGAAGGCGGCUCUCUGGUCCGAUACUGACGCUGAGGCACGAAAGCUAGGGGAGCAAACAGG